rnacentral:rRNA from 1 species
GUCGUCAAAGACGAUGACGUUGAUAGGAUGCAGGUGUAAAGGUGGUAACAUCAAAGCCGAGCAUUACUAAUUGCCCGUUCACUUUCUUU